rnacentral:rRNA from 1 species
AAUCAACGCUGGCGGCGUGCCUCAGACAUGCAAGUCGAACGCGAAAGGUUCCUUCGGGGACCGAGUAGAGUGGCGCACGGGUGAGUAACACGUAGGUAAUUUGCCUUUGGGUGGGGAAUAACUCAGGGAAACUUGAGCUAAUACCGCAUAAUGCAGCGGCUCGACAUCGAGACAGUUGUUAAAGCGGGGGAUUCGCAAGAACCUCGCGCCUAAAGAGAAGCCUGCGGCAGAUAGCUAGUUGGUAAGGUAAUGGCUUACCAAGGCGACGAUCUGUAACCGGCCUGAGAGGGCGGUCGGUCACACUGACACUGACAUACGGGUCAGACUCCUACGGGAGGCAGCAGUCGGGAAUUUUGGGCAAUGGGCGAAAGCCUGACCCAGUAACGCCGCGUGAAGGAU